UACGUUCCCGGGCCUUGUACACACCGCCCGUCACAUCACGAAAGUGGACUGUACUAGCCCGCAAGGGAGGCAGGUGACCACGGUAGGGUCAGCGACUGGGGUG
rnacentral:rRNA from 1 species